rnacentral:rRNA from 1 species
AACGAACGCUGGCGGCAGGCUUAACACAUGCAAGUCGAACGCCCCGCAAGGGGAGUGGCAGACGGGUGAGUAACGCGUGGGAAUCUACCCAGUUCUACGGAACAACUGAGGGAAACUUCAGCUAAUACCGUAUACGCCCUACGGGGGAAAGAUUUAUCGGAAUUGGAUGAGCCCGCGUAAGAUUAGCUAGUUGGUGGGGUAAUGGCCUACCAAGGCGACGAUCUUUAGCUGGUCUGAGAGGAUGAUCAGCCACACUGGGACUGAGACACGGCCCAGACUCCUACGGGAGGCAGCAGUGGGGAAUAUUGGACAAUGGGCGCAAGCCCGAUCCAGCCAUGCCGCGUGAGUGAUGAAGGCCUUAGGGUUGUAAAGCUCUUUCAGUGGGGACGAUAAUGACGGUACCCACAGAAGAAGCCCCGGCUAACUUCGUGCCAGCAGCCGCCGUAAGAC